UAGGGAAUCUUCGGCAAUGGACGAAAGUCUGACCGAGCAACGCCGCGUGAGUGAAGAAGGUUUUCGGAUCGUAAAACUCUGUUGUUAGAGAAGAACAAGGACGUUAGUAACUGAACGUCCCCUGACGGUAUCUAACCAGAAAGCCACGGCUAACUACGUGCCAGCAGCCGCGGUAAUACGUAGGUGGCAAGCGUUGUCCGGAUUUAUUGGGCGUAAAGCGAGCGCAGGCGGUUUCUUAAGUCUGAUGUGAAAGCCCCCGGCUCAACCGGGGAAGGUCAUUUGAAACUGGGAGUCUUGAGUUCAGAAGAGGAGAGUGGAAUUCCAUGUGUAGCGGUGAAAUGCGUAGAUAUAUGGAGGAACACCAGUGGCGAAGGCGGCUCUCUGGUCUGUAACUGACGCUGAGGCUCGAAAGCGUGGGGAGCAAACAGG
rnacentral:rRNA from 1 species